CGGACGGGUGAGUACACAUGGGUGACCUGGCUCGAAGUGAGGGAUACCGGCGAGAAAUCGCCGACAAGCCCGCAUAGGCUCUUUUUUGUAGAGGAGAGAGAGCAAAGCUUUUCUGCGGAAAGGCGCUUUGAGAUGGGCCUGUGGCCGAUUAGCUGGUUGGUGGGGUAAGAGCCUACCAAGGCUGCGAUCGGUAGCUGGUCUGAGAGGACGAACAGCCACACUGGGAUUGAGAACGGCCCAGACUCCUACGGGGGGCAGCAGUGAGGAAUUUUCCGCAAUGGUCGCAAGACUGACGGAGCAACGCCGCGUGCAGGAAGACGCGUUUCGACGUGUAAACUGCUUUUCUGUGGGACGAGAGUCGGACGGUACCACAGGAAGAAGCCCCGGCUAACUACGUGCCAGCAGCCGCGGUAAUACGUAGGGGGCGAGCGUUGUCCGGAGUUACUGGGCGUAAAGGGCGCGUAGGCGGUGGUGCGCGUUUUGUGUGACAGCGGCGGGCUUAACUCGCCGAGCAUGCGAAAGACGGCAGCACUUGAGGGUUCGAGAGGGACACGGAAUUCCGGGUGGAGUGGUGAAAUGCGUAGAGAUCCGGAGGAACACCGAAGGCGAAGGCAGUGUCCUGGCGAACGACUGACGCUGAGGAGCGAAAGCCAGGGGAGCGAACGGGAUUAGAUACCCCGGUAGUCCGGGCCGUAAACGAUGACCACCAGGUGUGGGAGGUAUCGACCCCUUCUGUGCCGGAGGAAACCCAUUGAGUGGU
rnacentral:rRNA from 1 species